rnacentral:rRNA from 1 species
CGGACGGGUGAGUAACGCGUGGAUAACCUGCCCCAUACCGGGGGAUAACAGCCGGAAACGGCUGCUAAUACCGCAUAAGCGCACAGGAAUGCAUAUUCCAGUGUGAAAAACUCCGGUGGUAUGGGAUGGAUCCGCGUCUGAUUAGCUAGUUGGCGGGAUAGAGGCCCACCAAGGCGACGAUCAGUAGCCGACCUGAGAGGGUGGCCGGCCACAUUGGGACUGAGACACGGCCCAGACUCCUACGGAAGGCAGCAG